rnacentral:rRNA from 1 species
AGCCGAGCGGUAGAGAUUCUUCGGAAUCUUGAGAGCGGCGUACGGGUGCGGAACACGUGUGCAACCUACCUUUAUCAGGGGGAUAGCCUUUCGAAAGGAAGAUUAAUACCCCAUAAUAUAUUGAAUGGCAUCAUUUAAUAUUGAAAACUCCGGUGGAUAGAGAUGGGCACGCGCAAGAUUAGAUAGUUGGUAGGGUAACGGCCUACCAAGUCAAUGAUCUUUAGGGGGCCUGAGAGGGUGAUCCCCCACACUGGUACUGAGACACGGACCAGACUCCUACGGGAGGCAGCAGUGAGGAAUAUUGGACAAUGGGUGAGAGCCUGAUCCAGCCAUCCCGCGUGAAGGACGACGGCCCUAUGGGUUGUAAACUUCUUUUGUAUAGGGAUAAACCUACUCUCGUGAGAGUAGCUGAAGGUACUAUACGAAUAAGCACCGGCUAACUCCGUGCCAGCAGCCGCGGUAAUACGGAGGGUGCAAGCGUUAUCCGGAUUUAUUGGGUUUAAAGGGUCCGUAGGCGGAUCUGUAAGUCAGUGGUGAAAUCUCAUAGCUUAACUAUGAAACUGCCAUUGAUACUGCAGGUCUUGAGUAAAGUAGAAGUGGCUGGAAUAAGUAGUGUAGCGGUGAAAUGCAUAGAUAUUACUUAGAACACCAAUUGCGAAGGCAGGUCACUAUGUUUUAACUGACGCUGAUGGACGAAAGCGUGGGGAGCGAACAGGAUUAGAUACCCUGGUAGUCCACGCCGUAAACGAUGCUAACUCGUUUUUGGGUUUUCGGAUUCAGAGACUAAGCGAAAGUGAUAAGUUAGCCACCUGGGGAGUACGUUCGCAAGAAUGAAACUCAAAGGAAUUGACGGGGGCCCGCACAAGCGGUGGAUUAUGUGGUUUAAUUCGAUGAUACGCGAGGAACCUUACCAAGGCUUAAAUGGGAAUUGACAGGUUUAGAAAUAGACUUUUCUUCGGACAAUUUUCAAGGUGCUGCAUGGUUGUCGUCAGCUCGUGCCGUGAGGUGUUAGGUUAAGUCCUGCAACGAGCGCAACCCCUGUCACUAGUUGCCAUCAUUCAGUUGGGGACUCUAGUGAGACUGCCUACGCAAGUAGAGAGGAAGGUGGGGAUGACGUCAAAUCAUCACGGCCCUUACGCCUUGGGCCACACACGUAAUACAAUGGCCAGUACAGAGGGCAGCUACCAGGCGACUGGAUGCGAAUCUCGAAAGCUGGUCUCAGUUCGGAUUGGAGUCUGCAACUCGAC